rnacentral:tRNA from 4 species
GGGCCUGUAGCUCAGCUGGUUAGAGCACCUGCUUUGCAAGCAGGGGGUCAAGGGUUCGAAUCCCUUCAGGUCCACCA